rnacentral:rRNA from 1 species
CCUACGGGUGGCAGCAGUCGAGAAUCAUUCACAAUGGGGGAAACCCUGAUGGUGCGACGCCGCGUGGGGGAAUGAAGGUCUUCGGAUUGUAAACCCCUGUCAUGUGGGAGCAAAUUAAAAAGAUAGUACCACAAGAGGAAGAGACGGCUAACUCUGUGCCAGCAGCCGCGGUAAUACAGAGGUCUCAAGCGUUGUUCGGAAUCACUGGGCGUAAGGCGUGCGUAGGCUGUUUCGUAAGUCGUGUGUGAAAGGCGCGGGCUCAAGCCGCGGACGGCACAUGAUACUGCGAGACUAGAGUAAUGGAGGGGGGACCGGAAUGCUCGGUGUAGCAGUGAAAUGCGUAGAUAUCGAGAGGAACACUCGUGGCGAAGGCGGGUUCCUGGACAUUAACUGACGCUGAGGCACGAAGGCCAGGGGAGCGAAAGGGAUUAGAUACCCGGGUAGUC